AAUAGAAGGGGAGCCUGUAAGACAGGCUGAGAGGAUAGUGUUUACUAUCGACCCUUAUUACCUGAUGCAGAUAAUGCUGCCGUAGGGAAAUAGAAAAG
rnacentral:ncRNA from 1 species